GGCUAAAUUUACUGGUAGAAAUUAUCUUAAUACUUUAUUCGGCUAUUGUUUAUAUUCGGGAGCAGUUGUUGUGGGAGUGUGAUGACAGAUGGAUGGUUCUGAAGAACGUUGGAUCAGCAGGAAACAGCCACUCCUGAUGAAUCCACUUCCUCCUGGUUGACGUCUGUGUUUUAUUUCAGUAUAAACAACAAAACACUGAUAUGCACAAUAGGGACAUCAAAACUGUAGAAGGCUAAAGCUGUUGGUUGUACAUCAAGAACUGUCAACAAUGAUUCCUGAGCCGAUGUGGGGCUCCCGUGAUGCUAGUCACCAGCCGUUAUGGUCUGCCGUCCAAGAUAGAAAAGGCGAGUCGGCAGGAGGACGAGGAGGGUGACGGAUGAAGAGAGGGAGAGAAAAGAAGAAAUUUUCAGUUCAGUUUAUUUAAAAUGUACUUUCAAUGUAUUUCCUUAUUGAUAAUUUUUGUCUCAUUGAAAAAUCACAAUUUUCACAAAAUUAAUAUAAAGAAUAUAAAUAUUAAUUGCAGUGUGGCAGAUUUGUGGCAAUACUGACUGAUGUCAACAAGACAACAAAUAAUGAACAUACAUAUUGAAUAUAUUAUUUCAAUAUGUGUUAAUGCCUCUCGGGGACUUUAAUAAUUAAAAUGGCUCUC
ensembl:lncRNA